rnacentral:rRNA from 1 species
AGCAGCCGCGGUAAUUCCAGCUCCAAUAGCGUAUAUUAAAGUUGUUGCAGUUAAAAGCUCGUAGUUGAAUUUUGGGUUUGGCCGAUUGGUCCGUUCUUGUAACGAGUACUGGUCGGUUGGGCCUCACCGCUUGGUGAUGCGUAAUGCCCUUUAUUGGGUGUUGCGAGUAGCCAGGACAUUUACCUUGAAAAAUUAGAGUGUUAAAGCAGGCUUAUGCCGGAAUACAUUAGCAUGGAAUAAUAGAAUAGGACGAUGAUUCUAUUUUGUUGGUUUCUAGGAGCAUCGUAAUGAUUAAUAGGGAUAGUUGGGGGCAUUAGUAUUCAAUUGUCAGAGGUGAAAUUCUUGGAUUUAUUGAAGACUAACUACUGCGAAAGCAUUUGCCAAGGAUGUUUUCAUUAAUCAAGAACGAAGUUAGGGGAUCGAAGACGAUCAGAUACCGUCGUAGUCUUAACCAUAAAACUAUGCCGACUAGGGAUCGGGCGAUGUUGUUUCAAUGACUCGCUCGGCACCUUAUGGGAAA